rnacentral:rRNA from 1 species
GACGAACGCUGGCGGCGUGCUUAACACAUGCAAGUCGAACGGGGGGUUACAUUGAAACCUAGUGAUAUGUAACCCUAGUGGCGAACGGGUGAGUAACGCGUGGAUAACCUACCUGUCCGACCGGGAUAACACCUGGAAACGGGUGCUAAUACCGGAUACGCUCACGGGUUCACAAGAGCUUGUGAGGAAAGGGGAGACCCGCAGACAGAUGGGUCCGCGUCCCAUUAGCUAGUUGGGGGUGUAAUGGACUCCCAAGGCGACGAUGGGUAGCCGGCCUGAGAGGGUGACCGGCCACACUGGAACUGAGACACGGUCCAGACUCCUACGGGAGGCAGCAGCUAAGAAUCUUCCGCAAUGGGGGAAACCCUGACGGAGCGACGCCGCGUGGACGAUGGAGGCCGUAAGGUUGUAAAGUCCUUUUCCUGGUGAAGAAUAGCCCGAGGAGUGGAAAGCCUUGGGGAUGACGUUAGCCAGGGAAUAAGCCCCGGCCAAUUACGUGCCAGCAGCCGCGGUAAGGAGUAGUACA